AUUGAACGCUGGCGGCAUGCUUUACACAUGCAAGUCGAACGGUAACAGCACUUCGGUGGCUGACGAGUGGCGAACGGGUGAGUAAUACAUCGGAACGUGCCUAGUAGUGGGGGAUAACUACUCGAAAGAGUAGCUAAUACCGCAUGAGAUCUAAGGAUGAAAGCAGGGGACCUUCGGGCCUUGCGCUACUAGAGCGGCUGAUGGCAGAUUAGGUAGUUGGUGGGAUAAAAGCUUACCAAGCCGACGAUCUGUAGCUAGUCUGAGAGGACGACCAGCCACACUGGGACUGAGACACGGCCCAGACUCCUACGGGAGGCAGCAGUGGGGAAUUUUGGACAAUGGGCGCAAGCCUGAUCCAGCAAUGCCGCGUGCAGGAUGAAGGCCUUCGGGUUGUAAACUGCUUUUGUACGGAACGAAAAGCCCUCUUCUAAUACAGGAGGGUCAUGACGGUACCGUAAGAAUAAGCACCGGCUAACUACGUG
rnacentral:rRNA from 1 species